rnacentral:lncRNA from 1 species
CUCCAGCAAACCUGCUCUUCAAUUCUGCUUGAUCCGUGCAAACACUCCUCUUUGAUCCUAGUAAGACUUCGCUACAGAUAAGCUUUCAAUGUGAGAGGAAAAGAAUGUCAAUAAGACGAUAAUAUAUCUCAGGUGGUUGCCUGUGGCAGGUAUGAUCUCUUCAGUAGUGCAGGAGAGCUUUUUUCAUUGUCAAGGCCCUUUGCUAGAUCAUGUAGCGAUAAUAAAAUCAACAUAUCAAUACUAGUUCUUUUUUUUUUUUUUUUUUUUNNNNNNNNNNNNNNNNNUUUUUUUUUUUUUUUUUUGGCACCAGAGAUCGAACUCAGGACCUUGCGCUUGCAUGGCAGACGGCCGUAUCACUGAGCUAAGACCCCAGCCUGAUACUAGUUCUUGAAGUAUCUCAGCAAUCAUUCACUAGGAUCCAUCUGCUGUGAUAUGUGUCAUAUUUUAAGGGCAAAUUGGGAUUGAAAGGAAACAUUCCAAAUGAAGAAAUCUAAUGAAGCAAGCACUAAGAUGUAGACAUGCAGAGACAGGGUGACUACCCCUGCAGGACCUUACUCGAUUACUCCAUACUGACCGAAGGUCCCAUGAAAAAAACGUGUUUUGAUCACAUACGUCUCCCCAGUCCCAGGCCAGCUUCUCUGCUUCCCUCCCGAAGGAAACUUUCUAAGAGCUGAAGAGGUUUACAGGCCCGUCGAGGUCACUGCUCCUCCCGUCCACUCACACUUCCCACUCCGCGUGCCAGGAGUGUUCCCACUCCGCGCCACCCUCCUGCGGCC